UGGUCAGACAUGGUUUCACAGAGGUUUAGAAACAAAGGACACCACUGGUAUGGUGAUGCUCAUUUACAACUAUCAUGUGAUGCAAACACACAUAUGAUGGCCUUCUUUCGGUUUCUGUCAACCAAAUCCAAUCAUAAAGCUUUGAUCAUUUCAGCACUAUAGUAGAAGAUAUUUCUCAAGAUGCCAUUCAAUAGGACUGGACCCCAAAUCAUGUCAUUGACGCAUUUGUGAUGAGAGAAAGAAAAGAGCUAUUUAUGAAAAUUAAAUGAAACAAGCAACGGGUUGGUUACAGACUGCUAACAGCUUAUACCUACUUAGUCAUUAUGGAGUUACUUUUUGAAAAUGUAUGGAUCAUGAAUAUGAAAUAAUAUCUCAAUAAGCCAAAGUCGUAAGAGGCAAAUUUUUACUGUUUCAUCCGUCAUACUUUGAAGAUAAAAUGUACGUUUUCCUAA